GAUGAACGCUGGCGGCGUGCCUAAUACAUGCAAGUCGAGCGAACGGACGAGAAGCUUGCUUCUCUGAUGUUAGCGGCGGACGGGUGAGUAACACGUGGAUAACCUACCUAUAAGACUGGGAUAACUUCGGGAAACCGGAGCUAAUACCGGAUGAUAUUUUGAACCGCAUGGUUCAAAAGUGAAAGACUGUCUUGCUGUCACUUAUAGAUGGAUCCGCGCUGCAUUAGCUAGUUGGUAAGGUAACGGCUUACCAAGGCAACGAUGCAUAGCCGACCUGAGAGGGUGAUCGGCCACACUGGAACUGAGACACGGUCCAGACUCCUACGGGAGGCAGCAGUAGGGAAUCUUCCGCAAUGGGCGAAAGCCUGACGGAGCAACGCCGCGUGAGUGAUGAAGGUCUUCGGAUCGUAAAACUCUGUUAUUAGGGAAGAACAUAUGUGUAAGUAACUGUGCACAUCUUGGCGGUACCUAAUCAGAAAGCCACGGCUAACUACGUG
rnacentral:rRNA from 1 species